UGUAUCGUACGAUGAAAUGGUACCGAAUACGGUUUAAAAGGGAAUCCGGAAAUCCGGAGCUGUCCCCGCAACUGUGAACGCUAACGAAAGCCUAAAUAAACCACUGUGGAUAAUUCCAUGGGAAGGGAAGGCAAGUAGGAUGAUGCGCAAGCCAGUAGACCUGCCAUUUGAUCGUCAAGCAA
rnacentral:ncRNA from 2 species